UUUCUUCUUUCUGUGUAGAAGGCAGAUAAUUUCCUGAUGUGUCAGUAGAGCUGCAUGAACACGAACGGACAGAAGUCGCCAUCUGAAGCAGCUUCUUCUCUCUUCUGCUGGAUUAUUGGGCUCUUCUGGACUCUAGAGAAAUGAAGCUCAUCUUUGGACUGAUGCUGCUGCUGAAAACUGCUGCAUGUCUGGAGAGGAACUGCAGUUUUUAUCAGUCAGUUCCCUGUUAUGCAGCUCUGGGACACAAACUCAGUCUGCAGAUGGUGGACGCUAGUAGAUACAGCCUGAAGAUACAAAAGAUAAUAAGCAGCACAGAAAAAGAUCCAGUUUGUAGAGUAAAGAAUGACACAAUGAAGAACUGUGAUCUUUUCAAUAACAGACCUGAAGUGUCAGUCAUUAAUGGGACUCUGAUAAUAAACCGUGUGAUCAGAGCAGAUUCAGGGACUUACAAAUUAUAUCUCGAAGACUCAAAAGGCACAGAAACAUCUACAGAUCUUCAAGUGAUUGUUGAAGACAAGGACGCUGGCAAAACACAAGUGAUAUUAGGUGAGGAGCUUGGUAAGGUCCUCCCAUCACUCCGAUCGUUCUCGGAUGUUUUGCUGUAAUUCUUAUAGCUCUGGUCAUCAUGGCAUAUUACUUCUACAAGAAGAAGAAUCAGCUCAAACCAACAACAACCCCGGUGUCAGACGGUCCAGAGCCUGUGAAUGAACACAUCUCUCAGAAGAACAGAGAGGAAGAACAGAAGAGAACAGAUGAAUAUGCCACGAUCGACUCUCAGAACAAGAACAAGAAGAAGAAAAAGGAGGAAGAGGUUCAUUAUGGAGAAGUGACGUUCACCAACUCAAGAGUUCAACAGCCGCCUAAGAUGCAGGAGGAUUGUGUUUACUCUGAGGUUCAGACACGCUAGUGUGAAACAGCCACAAAACCCACAGAUUGUGAGUCUGCAUGUGUCAUGAAAACACAACGGCCCAGGUCUGAGCUGCUUAUGAUGCAAUGCUGGGGUUAUUGCGUAUUUCUUUCCUGUGUGGGAGGAGAAAAAAACUAAAGGGAGUGUCUGAUGCAACCAGAACAGAAAUAUGACAGGACAAACACUGACUGAUGUGAACAAAUAAUGGCUUGUGCUAAAUACAUAAUCAUUUGUUCUUUAUAUUUAUCUGUGCAAAACAAUGCAUUUAAAAUACACACGUGUUUCCUGCA